GUCAGCAGCCAUAUCACCUUGCAGCUCUCAACUGGCUUCCCCCUGAAGCUCAGCUGGGUUGAGCCUGGUCAGUACCUGGAUGGAGACCUCUUGGGAAGCUAUGGUUGCUGCUAGAA
rnacentral:rRNA from 1 species